rnacentral:tRNA from 1 species
GGGCGUUUGGGGCGUUUGGAGCCUUUGGAGCGUUCAGAGCGUUCAAAGCGUUCGGGGCGUUCAGAGCGUUCUGCGCGCCCGGCACACAC